GCGGAAAUAGCUCAGUUGGNNGCUCAGUUGGUAGAGCAUAACCUUGCCAAGGUUAGGGUCGCGAGUUCGAGUCUCGUUUUCCGCUCAA
rnacentral:tRNA from 1 species